rnacentral:lncRNA from 1 species
UGAUCUGCUGCAGACAAAGAGGCAAGGCCAACAGGGAUGAAGACAACGCCAACAAGGAUAAAUGAGGCAAUGACCUGAAGUCAUGAGAGAGAGUAGUAGUCCACUAGCAGGCAUUAAAUGAAACUUGUAGGCAAAAUAGCUUUAAUUUGAAAGGAGAUUGAUCCAGAUAUACAAUCAACCAUACCCAUCUUGGGGUCAGAAUUGGCUUAU